UAAAGAGGGUCCUUUAAAGCGAGUGAAGGAUGCAGAAGUGGAAGUGAGUCAGAGAAGGAUGUGAAGAUGAUAAACUGAAUUUGAAGAUUGCCUCCCUCUUCCGUUGACCCCGGAAUGCCUAUGGCCUUUAGAGACUGAAAACGGGAAGGAAACAUGCUCCUUGGACCUUCAGGAAGACGGCAGACAUGGGACACCUUGAUUUUAGCCUAUUUCAGACUUCUGCUCCCCAGAACUGUAAGGUUUAUGAAUUUCAUCAGGAAGAGAAAUGUGAAAAAAAUGAAACACACAAUUCAUUGCUUAUCCUGUAGAGAAAGACUUCUUCCUGCCACUGCUAAAUGUGUGAGUUCAUGGGUAUAUAAAAAUAGAAUGCACUUGGCAAUGAAAGUUACAGGCUGAUUGAUGACACCCCAUUGUCAAACAAUUGAUAGCUAGUGAGGAAUUAUAGCGACCUUGUAGUAGAGCACAAAUAAUUCAACAGCCCCUGAAAUGUGUUAAGCAGACUCAUUUCCCUCUUCCGGGUACCUGGGUCACUUAAGUGGGGGAAAUGUAUCUCUUUAAUUCAUUUGUGAAAAACUGUAAUCGCCUCCAGGCAAGAAAGACAUUGGAUAAUUUCAACACACUUUUUUAUGCUACCUGUUAAAAUAGUUAUUAAUUCAAAAUUAUUGCAUAUGUGUUCAGUUCAGUUUCUCAAUCGCGUCCGACUCUGUGACCCCAUGGAUUGCCUCAUGCCAGGCUUCCUUGUCCAUCACCAGCUCCUGGAGCUUGCUCAAACUCAUGUGCAUCAAGGUGGUGAUGACAUCCAACCAUAUAAAUAUAUUAUAGAUAACCCUAAAUCAUCAGCCAGAGUAAUAUAGGGAUAGAACUGUAAAUUUAUUUAUUCAUUGCUUUUGGUUGUGCUAUGUCUGUUACUGUAUGUGGGCUUUCUGUAAGUGCAGCAAGCCAGGACUACUCUUCUUUGUGCUCUGAGGGUUUCUCAUUGUGGUGGCUUCUCUUGUUGCGGAGCAGGGGUGUUGUGUGGGCUUUAUUUAGUUGUGGUGCAUAAGCUUAACUGCUCUAUGGCAUGUAGGAUCUUCCCAGACCAGAGAUCGAACCUGUGUUCCCUGCAUUGGCAGGUAAAUUCUUAAUCACUGGACCACCAGAGAAGUUCCCAAACUGGAAAUUUUAAAAUUUUCAUCUUCUUAAUAAAAGAAUGGUGGUAAGGAAGCAAUGCAAAGAAAUAGAGAAAAAGAACAGAAUGGGAAAGACUAGAGAUCUCUUCAAGAAAAUUAGAGAUACCAAGGGAACAUUUCAUUCAAAGAUGGGCUCGAUAAAGGACAGAAAUGGUAUGGACCUAACAGAAGCAGAGGAUAUUAAGAAGAGGUGGCAAGAAUACACAGAAGAACUGUACAAAAAAGAUCUUCAAGACCCGGAUAAUCACGAUAGUGUGAUCACUCAUCUAGAUCCAGACAUCCUGGAAUGUGAAGUCAAGUGGGCCUUAGAAAGCAUCACUAUGAACAAAGCUAGUGGAGGUGAUGGAAUUCCAGUGUAGCUAUUUCAAAUCCUGGAAGAUGAUGCUGUGAAAGUGCUGCCCUGAAUGUGCUAGCAAAUUUGGAAAACUCAGCAGUGGCCACAGGACUGGAAAAGGUCAGUUUUCAUUCCAAUCCCAAAGAAAGGCAAUGCUAACGAAUGCUCAAACUACCGCACAAUUGCACUCAUCUCACAUGCUACUAAAGUAAUGCUCAAAAUUCUUCAAGCCAGGCUUCAGCAAUACGUGAACUGUGAACUUCCUGAUGUUCAAGCUGGUUUUAGAAAAGGCAGAGGAACCAGAGAUCAAAUUGCCAACAUCCGCUGGAUCAUUGAAAAACCAGGAGAGUUCUGGAAAAACAUCUAUUUCUGCUUUCUUGACUAUGCCAAAGCCUUUGACUGUGUGGAUCACAACAAACUGUGGAAAAUUCUGAGAGAGAUAGGAAUACCAGACCACCUGACCUGCCUCUUGAGAAAUCUGUAUGCAGAUCAGGAAGCAACAGUUAGAACUGGACAUGGAACAACAGACUGGUUCCAAAUAGGAAAAGGAGUAUGUCAAGGCUGUAUGUUGUCACCUUGCUUAUUUAACUUCUAUGCAGUGUACAUUAUGAGAAACGCUGGACUGGAAGAAACACAAGCUGGAAUGACGACUGCCAGGAGAAAUAUCAAUGACCUCAGAUAUGCAGAUGACAAUACCUUAUGGCAGAAAGUGAAGAGGAACUAAAAGGCCUCUUGAUGAAAGUGAAAGAGGAGAGUGAAAAAGUUGGCUUAAAGUUCAACAUUCAGAAAAUGAAGAUCAUGGCACCUGGUCCCAUCACUUCAUGGGAAAUAGAUGGGGAAACAGUGGAAACAGUGUCAGACUUUAUUUUUUGGGGCUCCAAAAUCACUGCAGAUGGUGACUGCAGC
ensembl:lncRNA